UCUGGUGGCUAUAGCGAGGGGGAAACACCUCUUCCCAUCCCGAACAGAGAAGUUAAGCCCCUCAGCGCUGAUGGUACUGUCCGCAUGGCGCGGACGGGAGAGUAAGUCGCCACCAGAU
rnacentral:rRNA from 1 species